AACGAACGCUGGCGGCAUGCCUAACACAUGCAAGUCGAACGAGACCUUCGGAUCUAGUGGCGCACGGGUGCGUAACGCGUGGGAACCUGCCCUUAGGUUCGGAAUAACUCCCCGAAAGGGGUGCUAAUACCGGAUAAUGUCUUCGGACCAAAGAUUUAUCGCCUUUGGAUGGGCCCGCGUUGGAUUAGCUAGUUGGUAGGGUAAAAGCCUACCAAGGCGACGAUCCAUAGCUGGUCUGAGAGGAUGAUCAGCCACACUGGGACUGAGACACGGCCCAGACUCCUACGGGAGGCAGCAGUGGGGAAUAUUGGACAAUGGGCGAAAGCCUGAUCCAGCAAUGCCGCGUGAGUGAUGAAGGCCUUAGGGUUGUAGAGCUCUUUUACCCGGGAUGAUAAUGACAGUACCGGGAGAAUAAGCUCCGGCUAACUCCGUG
rnacentral:rRNA from 1 species